GAACUGAAGAGUUUGAUCCUGGCUCAGAUUGAACGCUGGCGGCAUGCCUUACACAUGCAAGUCGAACGGCAGCACGGGUGCUUGCACCUGGUGGCGAGUGGCGAACGGGUGAGUAAUACAUCGGAACAUGUCCUGUAGUGGGGGAUAGCCCGGCGAAAGCCGGAUUAAUACCGCAUACGAUCCACGGAUGAAAGCGGGGGACCUUCGGGCCUCGCGCUAUAGGGUUGGCCGAUGGCUGAUUAGCUAGUUGGUGGGGUAAAGGCCUACCAAGGCGACGAUCAGUAGCUGGUCUGAGAGGACGACCAGCCACACUGGGACUGAGACACGGCCCAGACUCCUACGGGAGGCAGCAGUGGGGAAUUUUGGACAAUGGGCGAAAGCCUGAUCCAGCAAUGCCGCGUGUGUGAAGAAGGCCUUCGGGUUGUAAAGCACUUUUGUCCGGAAAGAAAUCCCUGGCUCUAAUACAGUCGGGGGAUGACGGUACCGGAAGAAUAAGCACCGGCUAACUACGUGCCAGCAGCCGCGGUAAUACGUAGGGUGCGAGCGUUAAUCGGAAUUACUGGGCGUAAAGCGUGCGCAG
rnacentral:rRNA from 1 species